UAAAAAGAUUAGAUAAAUUCUUUAAAAUUUUACAAAAAUUAUUGGUUAUAUGAUCCAUUAUUAAUGAUUAUAAGAUUAAGUUACCUUAGGGAUAACAGCGUAAUUUUUUUAGAGAGUUCUUAUCAAUAAAAAAGUUUGCGACCUCGAUGUUGGAUUAAAAGUAAUUUUGGGUGUAGAAGUUCAAAAUUUUGGUCUGUUCGACCAUUAAAUUUUUACAUGAUCUGAGUUUAGACCGGCGUAAGCCAGGUCGGUUUCUAUCUUUAUUAAUUUAAUAUAUUUUAGUACGAAAGGACCAAAUAUAUAAUAUAUUUAUAUUNAUUUUUUGAAUAU
rnacentral:rRNA from 1 species